rnacentral:rRNA from 1 species
UACUAUAGCUUGACACUGAACAUUGAGCCUUGAUGUGUAGGAUAGGUGGGAGGCUUUGAAGCGUGGACGCCAGUCUGCGUGGAGCCAACCUUGAAAUACCACCCUUUAAUGUUUGAUGUUCUAACGUUGGCCCCUUACCGGGGUUGCGGACAGUGUCUGGUGGGUAGUUUGACUGGGGCGGUCUCCUCCCAAAGCGUAACGGAGGAGCACGAAGGUUAGCUAAUCCUGGUCGGACAUCAGGAGGUUAGUGCAAUGGCAUAAGCUAGCUUGACUGCGAGCGUGACGGCGCGAGCAGGUGCGAAAGCAGGUCAUAGUGAUCCGGUGGUUCUGAAUGGAAGGGCCAUCGCUCAACGGAUAAAAGGUACUCCGGGGAUAACAGGCUGAUACCGCCCAAGAGUUCAUAUCGACGGCGGUGUUUGGCACCUCGAUGUCGGCUCAUCACAUCCUGGGGCUGAAGUAGGUCCCAAGGGUAUGGCUGUUCGCCAUUUAAAGUGGUACGCGAGCUGGGUUUAGAACGUCGUGAGACAGUUCGGUCCCUAUCUGCCGUGGGCGCUGGAGAAUUGAGGGGGGCUGCUCCUAGUACGAGAGGACCGGAGUGGACGCAUCACUGGUGUUCGGGUUGUCAUGCCAAUGGCACUGCCCGGUAGCUAAAUGCGGAAGAGAUAAGUGCUGAAAGCAUCUAAGCACGAAACUUGCCCCGAGAUGAGUUCUCCCUGAGACUU